UAAGAAUAUUCCGCAAUGGACGAAAGUCUGACGGAGCGACGCCGCGUGGAUGAAGAAGGCCGAAAGGUUGUAAAGUUCUUUUGUUGGGGAAGAAUAACCAUGGGAGGGAAUGUCCGUGGGAUGACAUGCACCGACGAAUAAGCCCCGGCUAACUACGUGCCAGCAGCCGCGGUAACACGUAGGGGGCAAGCGUUGUUCGGAAUUACUGGGCGUAAAGGGCAUGUAGGCGGCCUUGUAAGCUUGGCGUGAAAGUCCACGGCUUAACCGUGGGAUUGCGUUGAGGACUGCGAGGCUUGAGUGACGGAGAGGGAGCUAGAAUUCCUGGUGUAGGGGUGGAAUCUGUAGAUAUCACUAGGAAUAUCAAAAGCGAAGGCGAUCUGCUGGGAUGAUACUGACGCUGAGGCACGAAAGCGUGGGGAGCAAACA
rnacentral:rRNA from 1 species